rnacentral:rRNA from 1 species
AAUGAACGCUGGCGGCAUGCCUAACACAUGCAAGUCGAGCGGACGGACGGGGAGUUUUCUUCUAUGCUGUUACCGGCGGACGGGUGAUUCACUCGUAUAUGACCUACCUAGAAGACUGGGAUACCUACAGGGAACCGUAUCUCAUACCCGAUAAUAUUUUGAACCUCAUGGUUCAUAAGUGCUAGACGUUCUUGCUGUGCCUAAUAGAGGGCACCAGGCUGGAUUAGCUAGUUGGUAAGAUAACGGCUUACCAAGGCUACGAUGCGUAGCCGACCUGAGAGGGUGAUCAGUCACACUGGAACUGAGACACGGUCCAGACUCCUACGGGAGGCAGCAGUAGGGAAUAUUGCGCAAUGGGCGAAAGCCUGAUAGAGCAAUGCCGCGUGAGUGAUGAAGGUCUUCGGAUCGUAAAGCUCUGUAAGUAGGGAGGAAGAUAAGUGAGUUUAAACGUUGCUAUCUUGACGGUACCAACAGAAUAAGCCCCGGCUAACUACGUG